rnacentral:rRNA from 3 species
GACCUCAGAUCAGACGAGGCUACCCGCCUAACUUAAGCAUAUUGUUAAGCGGAGGAAAAGAAACUAA